rnacentral:rRNA from 1 species
AGAGUUUGAUCCUGGCUCAGGAUGAACGCUAGCUACAGGCUUAACACAUGCAAGUCGAGGGGCAGCAUGGUCUUAGCUUGCUAAGGCCGAUGGCGACCGGCGCACGGGUGAGUAACACGUAUCCAACCUGCCGUCUACUCUUGGACAGCCUUCUGAAAGGAAGAUUAAUACAAGAUGGCAUCAUGAGUCCGCAUGUUCACAUGAUUAAAGGUAUUCCGGUAGACGAUGGGGAUGCGUUCCAUUAGAUAGUAGGCGGGGUAACGGCCCACCUAGUCUUCGAUGGAUAGGGGUUCUGAGAGGAAGGUCCCCCACAUUGGAACUGAGACACGGUCCAAACUCCUACGGGAGGCAGCAGUGAGGAAUAUUGGUCAAUGGGCGAGAGCCUGAACCAGCCAAGUAGCGUGAAGGAUGACUGCCCUAUGGGUUGUAAACUUCUUUUAUAAAGGAAUAAAGUCGGGUAUGCAUACCCGUUUGCAUGUACUUUAUGAAUAAGGAUCGGCUAACUCCGUGCCAGCAGCCGCGGUAAUACGGAGGAUCCGAGCGUUAUCCGGAUUUAUUGGGUUUAAAGGGAGCGUAGAUGGAUGUUUAAGUCAGUUGUGAAAGUUUGCGGCUCAACCGUAAAAUUGCAGUUGAUACUGGAUAUCUUGAGUGCAGUUGAGGCAGGCGGAAUUCGUGGUGUAGCGGUGAAAUGCUUAGAUAUCACGAAGAACUCCGAUUGCGAAGGCAGCUUACUGGACUGUAACUGACGCUGAUGCUCGAAAGUGUGGGUAUCAAACAGGAUUAGAUACCCUGGUAGUCCACACGGUAAACGAUGAAUACUCGCUGUUUGCGAUAUACUGCAAGCGGCCAAGCGAAAGCGUUAAGUAUUCCACCUGGGGAGUACGCCGGCAACGGUGAAACUCAAAGGAAUUGACGGGGGCCCGCACAA